AACCAUUUAGACAAGGACGUGACCCUGUCUACAGCAGAACAGAAAGCACAGAAAUCUGGGUUGCAAAUGACUCCACGGAGCUUCCAUGGCGGGGCUGGACUACCUACCUCCAGGCUUUUCAUGUGAGAGAGCACUAUGUUUCCAUCUGGCUUAAGCCACUGUCAUUUUUAUGUUUCCUGUGAUAGGCAAUGGAGCAAAGUCCUAAGUGACCCAGAAUUCAAACAUCUCAAGAACAAAAGCGCCUCAAAGGGCAGACAUCUCAUCUACUCAUCUUGUAUCUACACCUCCUAAUGCAACAUCCGGCACUAGGUGGCAGCUCAGGAAAUAUGUUCUGAUCUCAACUGGAUUUUUCUCACUGCAAUGGAGUAAACAGGGUUGAAUGCCUCAAAAUGUCUUGGUUUGCUCUUCAUGCCAGCUGUAAGUUGAAGACUGAAACAAAAUUUUCUAGCCAUAUUUUUGUUUUCCUGGAGAUGGAAAGCAAACAGCAGAUGAGUCAUCCGAAGAGAAUAUCCACUAUGAGAAACAAUUUUUGGACGUUUCACACCUGAAGUCCCUCAUCUGUAAAAGAUAACUUGGCCCUUAGCAACGUUUGAGGUCUCCUCUGGCUCUAAUAUUUUAUAAACCCAUUGUUGAGUAUAAAUGCACAGACCUGGACACAGAGAACUCACUGUGAAUAGAUGGCUCCUCCAGGGAUUGGCAACAUGACCGGCCUUACCUAACCUUCAAAUAAAUUAUUUACAAGGAGUGUUUAAUAAAAUCUUGAAGUCAUCAGCUGACUGAACACUGUAGGAUAAUAAAAUGCCAAGUGAAGUAAGAUACGCUUCCUAGACUCCAGCCAGGCUGGCCUGCUCUAAAAACCCCUGACCUUGCCACACUCCUUCCUGUUACUGGGCAUCUAUCUGCGUUUGCUGUUUCUUCUGUCUCAAAUGUUCCUUCCUUCCCUCUUUACCGUGACCUCAGCCCAAGAGUCACUUCCUUAUAAAAAUCUUCCAUCUUUCCCUAACUGGAUAGAAUCACCCUAUUCUAGGUUCUCAUUCACUGCAUUGUAUUUCUCCUCUUCAUAGCACUAGUCAUGGUUGCUACUUUUUAUUGGUAUAAUCAUUUGAUUGACAUCUUUCUCCCUCACUGGAUCAUACCCUCCACUGGCGAGUAUUUUUGUUUUUGCUCAUACCAUUACAUCCAUAUCCUUGGCAGAAGGGUGACGCUCAACAAAUACUUGUUAAAAGAUCUCCAGAGGCCAUGCAAGGGUGCAGAACAGUGGCUGAUGAGUUUCACUACGGGAAAAGGGAAGACCCCAUUUGAGGGAAAUGCUGAGCUACUCUAAGAAGCUGGAAAGCUCUGAGCUCUCCAUCAUAUCCUUGAAGAAGGAUCUUGGAAGUCAGGAAUGGUGGUCACUUUCUGGUGAGAGUUGAAGAGCAGUCACUGAAUGAGGCCACCAUGGCACAGCAAGGCAUGACAAGCUAAGUAAGAGAAGAGACAAGCACAUGACUAAAAAGCUCAA
rnacentral:lncRNA from 1 species